ACUACUGAAGCGACUUAGCACGCACCCGCGCACGCAUGCCCAUAUAGUCAGAGUUAAGAAUUUCCCUGCAAUCACUGCAUUAGCUGCUUCCCAGAAAUUGUGAUUUGAUGUUGUUUUCAUUAUCACUCAGUUCGAUAUUUUCCAGUCUCCCUUAUGAGUUCUUCUUUGAUCCGUGGGUUACUUAGGGAUAUGCUAUCUGAAUAUUUGGGAUUUCCUACAUAUUUUAUUGUUAUUGGUUUGUUAAUUGUGAUCAGAGAACAUACUCAAGAUUUCAGUAUUCUAAUGAAACUUAUUUCCUGGCCCAGAUUAUAGUCUCUUUCUGAUAGACGUGAAAAUUUUUAAAUCUUGCUGUUGUUCAGUGUAGUGUUCUAUAAAUGUGGACUAGGUCAGGUUGGCCCACAACUUUGGUAGGAUUUUUCUAUAUCCUUGCCAAUUUUUAAAAAAUUAGUUUUUUUUUUUAAUCAAUCACUCAGAAAGGGCUGUUAAUAUCUCCUACAAUGAUUUGGGCUUUAUCUGCUUCUGUCUUUACUUUUGUUCAUUUUUGCUUCCUGAUUUUUUUUUCCUUCAAGAACCUUGCUGCUGUUUUAUGGAAAGUGAAAGUGAAAGUCACUCAGUUGUGUCUGAUUCUUUGCGACCCCAUGGACUAUACAGUCCAUGGAAUUCUUCAGGCCAGAAUUCUGGAGUGGGUAGCCUAUCCCUUCUCCAGUGGAUCUUCCCAACCCGGGGAUCGAACCUAGGUCUCCGGCAUUGCAGGAGGAUUCUUCACCGGCUGAGUUACCAGGGAAGACCUCGGAUACCUUCGAAAGGAACUGCAUUCCCUCUUUGCCUUGACUGCCAGGAUGCUCGGGACCAAAGUACAAUCCACCACUAG
rnacentral:lncRNA from 1 species